rnacentral:rRNA from 1 species
UACGUAGGGUCCGAGCGUUGUCCGGAAUUAUUGGGCGUAAAGGGCUCGUAGGCGGCCAACUAAGUCGGAUGUGAAAUCCCCAGGCUUAACCUGGGAACUGCAUCCGAUACUGGAUGGCUUGAAUUCGGGAGAGGGAUGCAGAAUUCCAGGUGUAGCGGUGAAAUGCGUAGAUAUCUGGAGGAAUACCGGUGGCGAAGGCGGCAUCCUGGACCGACAUUGACGCUGAGGAGCGAAAGCUAGGGGAGCAAACGGG